AGCGUCCGCUGUCCAGCCCCUUCCAACUGCCGCAGCCACGCCACGCCCCCUUCGGCUGCGGGGAGGAAGAGAGAGGCCCAACCUCUUAAUCUAGGUCCCGAGUGGAGGGAGUGAGGCAUAGAGAGCUGGCAAAGUCGUAGAAGACCGCCCCAUUUCUGGGGGUGGGAUGGGGUGGAUUUGUCAUGCUGGCCUUGGGGUCAGAAAAACCCCGGGUUCCACAAUUACUACUCUGACUCUAUCUGCCUGAUGACGAGCAAGUAAAUCACUUUGGUCUCCUUGAGCCUCAGUUUCCUCAUCUGUAAACUGGGGAUAAUAAUACCUGCAUUACCUCCCUCAAAGGAUGCUUGUGAGGUUCAUAUUACAUAUGCAGAGCAUGUUGUAAGGGUGGAGUUGGUUAAAUAAGUCAGUCACCUCGCCUCAUCACCUUAAAGUAGAGAUGAAGAUGCCUGACACCUUAAUGAGGUGCUGCAAAGUGCUGGAGUUAUUAAAGAAAGGCAAAACCACGGUCUCUGGUGCCCUAGAGGAGCGCACAUUCUGACAGAGGAGGCAACAUGCAAACCAUGUACACACAAGAUAAACAUAUGCACGUAUGCGUGUGGAGAAAUCAAAAAUUUCAGAGAAAUUGUGAUUAGGAGAGAAAUUAAUAGAAGUCUGGUAUCCAGGAUAAAGGAAGAAAUCAUCUCGAUGUCCUCUACCCUGGUUACAUCUGGAGUAUUGUGAUGAAUUUGGGGAAAUCCUUUUCUAGUCUCAAUGAUCACCUGAAGAAUGGCCAGCAGCGGACAGCUAAGGCUUUAAAUUCGUGCCACAGAAGGAUCAAUUCAAGGAACUGAAGGCCAGUUAGUCAAUAAGCCUACAAUGACAUGCCUACUUUGUGCCAGGCACUAUGUGAAGCCUUAGGAACACAAAAAAAGGCAAGAGACAGUCCUGCUCUUAAGACACUAACAGUCUCAUGAAGAGACAAGAAAAGACGUGGUAACUGCCUUCAAGUAUGGAGAUCCAUUACCAAGAAAAGGGCUCAGUCAGUCAGCAAGCAUCAAUUAAAUGUUUAUUAUGUGCCAGGCUCUGUGCUAAGCACUUGGAAUACAAAAAAAAUCCACACAAAAACAUUUGUCCUCCCCUUAGGUGCACAUUUUCUAAUUUUUUUUUUGAGGCAAUCAGAGUUAAGUGACUUGCCCAGGGUCACACGUAGGUAGGU